GAUGAACGCUGGCCGCGUGCCUAAUACAUGCAAGUCGAGCGAAUGGAUUAAGAGCUUGCUCUUAUGAAGUUAGCGGCGGACGGGUGAGUAACAUGUGGGUAACCUGCCCAUAAGACUGGGAUAACUCCGGGAAACCGGGGCUAAUACCGGAUAACAUUUUGAACCGCAUGGUUCGAAAUUGAAAGGCGGCUUCGGCUGUCACUUAUGGAUGGACCCGCGUCGCAUUAGCUAGUUGGUGAGGUAACGGCUCACCAAGGCAACGAUGCGUAGCCGAACUGAGAGGGUGAUCGGCCACACUGGGACUGAGACACGGCCCAGACUCCUACGGGAGGCAGCAGUAGGGAAUCUUCCGGAAUGGACGAAAGUCUGACGGAGCAACGCCGCGUGAGUGAUGAAGGCUUUCGGGUCGUAAAACUCUGUUGUUAGGGGAGAACAAGUGCUAGUUGAAUAAGCUGCCACCUUGACGGUACCUAACCAGAAAGCCACGGCUAACUACGUGCCAGCCGCCGCAGUAA
rnacentral:rRNA from 1 species